AUCAAAAGUACAGUAAAACAGUAAUAUUGUGAAAUAUUAUUGCAAUUUAAAAUAACUGUUAUUCGCUAUGAAUAUAUUUUAAAAUUUAAUUUAUUCCUGUGAUCAAAGCUGAAUUUCCAGCAUCAUUACUCCAGUCUUCAGUGUCACAUGAUCCUUCAGAAAUCAUUCUAACAUGCUGAUUUGAUGCUCAAGAAAUGUUUCCUUUUAUUAGUAGUGAAUAUUUUUUUGUGGAAAACACGAUACAUUUUUUUCCAGGGUUCUUUGAUGAAUAUAAAGUUCAAAAGAACAGCAUUUAUUUGAAGUUUUCAUGAAAGAUUAUACAUUUCUUUACUGUCUCUUUUGAUCAAUUUAAUGUGCCCUUGCUAGGAAGAAAAAAAAAACACUGACCCCAAACUUUUGAACGGUAGUGUAUAUGGAUGUAUAUGAACUAUUGUAUGGUAUUUUUGUUUGAGUUUGACAGACUUUUGUGUACCACCGUGAUAAAAUAGCCCUUACUACAUGCUGUAAAACUUUGUCUCUUUCUGUUUUCGUUCUACAGCCCUCAGCACUGACAUUACUGUCACCCGGUGGGUUUACUUUGCAUGCUUUGCAGGAAGUAAUCUUUUAAGAAACUCCAUGUAAAACAAGGAACAGUUCAUAAAAGCAAAACUCUGUCCUGUAACUUAUGUAAUGCUGUAUAGCCGGAAUGUAAAAGAUGUGUGGUUCACUUUAUCUGUAUAAACAGAUACAGGUGUCAGUAUAAAGACUCAAAGCACUGGCAUAUUGGCUAUUGAAACAAAUCCGGAAAUUACGCCUUUAACAUUAUUCACAAAGGAAUGGGAAAUCAUGCAAACAACAAACGUUUUAAAUACAAAAAUUUAUUUGUUUGCUGUUGCUCUUAUUGACAGUUGGCAUAAUGGAGGAGCAGGUGGACAGACUUAGUCUGACUGAAGGUCCUGCUUUGAUUAGUGGAGAUCAGUGCCAGAAUUUGGAUUCCAACUCAGUGAUUGAAAACAAGAGCUUAGACUGGUCUGUGACAAGUCAGAAUACAGAGAUCCAGCAGUAUGAGAUGAAGGGGGACAGGAGAGGAUUCUGUCUAAUCAUCAACAACUAUGACUUUCGUGCAUGCACACUGGGGAACAGAGAAGGAACAGAUAUUGACAAAGGUUAGUGUAACAAACACACAUAUAUAAACCAGUUAUCAGGCACACACGUGC
rnacentral:lncRNA from 1 species